CUGUGUUCUUGUCAAAACAUUUCGGGUUCCAAACCUUCUUGAUAGUUCAUAAUAAACUUUAGCAGACAUGCGAGAACAUUGUAGAUGUAUAGAAGUUGACAGAAUAACAGGUGGUGCCAAUAUACAUUUGCAGAGUUUUGAAAGCCUUUUUAUACCAUAAUUGAUACAUAACUGAUACAUAACAUCAACAUUUCUGCUGUUUAUAAUUGAUCUAUUUCAUUUUAGAAAAUGUCAUAGUCAGGGUUGAUGGCACACAAAUCAACUGUUUAUGCCUAGUAAAUAUAUAAAAUAAGUCAUAUAUUGAAAGUCAUUCAUCAGUAACAAAUGAUGACAAGUAUGGAAAUUAGAAGUAUAAUCGAUGCAUAUAGUUCUCGAAUAGAAUGAUAUAAUUCAGCAUACAAGAUCCAUGCAAUAAUAUUUUGUCGUGGAAGAAA